GUGUAUAUAGUGUAAUGGUUAGCACAAUUGACUGUGACUCAAUUAGUAUGGGUUCAAAUCCCGUUAUUCACCCCA
rnacentral:tRNA from 1 species